UCAGAAACCUCGUGAAUCCUGAGUCAUUAUUUGGUAGCCGGGGUUUGCAAGAGGGCACCCCCUGUGAUCCCCGAAAUUCCCCCUGAUCUAGGUGGUUUAGAAGCCCCGACGGGGGCCUCGUGGAAUGAAGGGGAAAAGAGGAGACGAACAGAAAAAGAGGAUGGGGGGAGGCCGCCAUCGUCGCUGCCGCCGCCUCCACGACGCCGGUGUCCCUUCUCCGGAAGACAAACCGGUCCUUCUCGCCAGAGGCAUGGAUUUUUCCCCAAGAUGAUCUGAGCUUCAGAUAAACCUGGAUGAUUGCUGCAUAUAUAACACGCAAAGAAACUGUUGGUAUGAAAUUCGACAGAUUUGUGAUGAGUUCUGUAGUAGCAACUAGCAACCAUGAGCUCCAUUUUUGGGUGUUUGUCGGUUUCUAAAAUUGGAAUUCUGAAGCAAACGAAUUGAUUGUAGCGAUGGUAGAUAGGUUAGGUAGUAUGUGGACACGAAAGUAUCGAUAGCUACCCGACCCUAGGCUGUAGCAACAGCCACCAAAAUCUGUAGAUAUUGUAUUGGCAAUAUUCUGCCAAGCUUAGAAUAAAUAUAUAUUAUCCCAAGCUUGGUGUAUAUUCAUUUUUAUUUGCAUUUGUUUCUAUUUAUACCUAGCGCCAGGUGCUCAUUCAGUUGCACAAGUUUGGCUGGAUGAAUCGUGCUUAUAAAUAUUCUUUAUACCUUGUAUUCUACAAGUCAUCGUCGGUCAGUCAAUAGGUGGAUGUUUGUUUCUAGUAUGAAUGAUUAUGUGCCAUCUUACAUGCCUGUUCCGAGUUUUCCUUUGCCUGAAUCUUAAUCAGUUCACGGGUAAGAUCUUACACGUUUUGUUUCUGGUUCUGUAUCCUAUUCGAAGUUGGCAUGUAUUACUUUUGUUGAAGAAGACAUGAAGAUUCAGUCUUCUGGUCAUCUUUUUUCAGCAGUUCGUUAUGGUUUUGUAAACUUUUGGGAAUUUUGUCAGCAGUUGUUGUUAGGAAGAUGUAGUACUACUACCUUAUUGUGGAGGUUUCUAACUGUUUACCAAUGAGAUUGUAGUUCUCAUACGAUUCUGUUGCUGCUAUUGGGUGAUCCUUCAUAUUGUGUUUGUAUAUGUUUUCUGGUUUAUAAAGGUCAUAGUGAUUAUUUUGGUGGAUUCCCCCUUGUUAGUUUAUUGUUUCAGGUUGCAUCCGCAAUUAAGAUUUGAUAAGUAGCCGCCUCCUAUCUUCCAGGCAAAUGCUUGACCGAUUCUUUUUUUCCAUUCACUUGAGAAAGGCAGCAUUAAUACUAAUCUAUUGAUAUGAUUUUGAAUUUGUGCAGUGCAAUGGUGGACAUUUAGCUCGUGGCACAUGCCUUGCCGAGCUCCCCAGCAGAUAGUGCCUGACUUGCAAGCACGACGCAGUGGAUGAUAUUGUCUCGCCGGCAAGGAUAAAGUGCUCCUACGAUGGCUACCAGAGUGACGUCACCUAGCACGAGGUUGACCAUCAUAGUGCUUCUAUAGUUCUGUAGCAACAUGAUUAGUUUUGUAUGUGGAUUCUACUCGUAGCAAGUUUUUUAUGUUAUGAUGCUGUUUUGCUUGUAAAGAUUGGAUUUUUGCAUGUUUUGCACCAUCUUAUAUCAAUAUGCAAAUCCUGCCUACCAAA